GACGAACGCUGGCGGCGUGCCUAAUACAUGCAAGUAGAACGCUGAAGGAGGAGCUUGCUUCUCUGGAUGAGUUGCGAACGGGUGAGUAACGCGUAGGUAACCUGCCUGGUAGCGGGGGAUAACUCUUGGAAACGAUAGCUAAUACCGCAUAAGAGUAGAUGUUGCAUGACAUUUGCUUAAAAGGUGCAAUUGCAUCACUACCAGAUGGACCUGCGUUGUAUUAGCUAGUUGGUGAGGUAACGGCUCACCAAGGCGACGAUACAUAGCCGACCUGAGAGGGGGGUCGGCCACACUGGGACGGAGACACGGCCCAGACGCCUACGGGAGGCAGCAGUAGGGAAACGUCGGCAAUGGACGGAAGUCUGACCGAGCAACGCCGCGUGAGGGAAGAAGGUUUUCGGAUCGUAAAGCUCGGUUGUAAGAGAAGAACGAGUGUGAGGGUGGAAAGUUCACACUGUGACGGUAUCUUAACAGAAAGGGACGGCUAACUACGUG
rnacentral:rRNA from 1 species